UAAGAAUAUAGUCCCUCCUCUAUUUGUUGAUGAAAUUCUCAACAUUUGACCUGGGUGCCACUGGUACACAGGAUCUAAGGACAUAGAUUAAGUGACAGAUGGUUCAUCUUGCUCCCAGUUACUGUGUUACUCCACCAGCAGACACUUACUGGGGGAGUAUUGGAUGCAUGGACCCAUUGUGCUGGCAGUUCAGGGGAUUUCCAUGUUUGGCGGAAGUGAAGCCAAGCAGCUAAAUCUCAUAUACAAUCACACUGCACCAACUCUACAAAUACAUAUCACACCCAACCACAUCCCAGUUAGGCGUAUUGCUUAGGGGGAGCAAGGAGGUACGAUAAUGGGGGCCAUUCUUUGAUUCGUGCACCCGGAUCCCUUGAUUCCUAGUUAUGGCCCUGCCCAACAGUACAGGAAAGAACUCAAAGGUUCAUUUAGAUAUUUAAUAAAUAAAAUGUAGACAUGUGCAAUUCGUUUCGAUCCGAAUGUUAAUUCGGCCGAAUUUCGGGAAAUUCGGACAUUUGGG